GUCUCCUUCGAGUCAAUGAUAGACUUUAAAAAAAAAAGAAGUCAGCAUUCCUUUGUGAGCAAUCGUGCAUGCCAGAGAGGGAUGUGAGAUUCACAGGCAAAAGACACCUUUCCACUUCUGACAACGUUCUAAAUUUCCAAACGUCCUUCGGAGUCACUCCUUUAUCCUUAAAAGGCAAUGAGAUGCCCAAGCUUAGUCUGACCCAUUGAACAGGCGAGCAUACUGAGGUCCAGAGAGAUGCUGUGGUCCAGAGGGAGAGGCAGCCCAGAGGGGAAGUCAGGGCCUCUGGUCCCUCCCCAGAGGACCGGCUUGCAAGGCCCCAGGGAACAUGAGCCUAAAGCCUCUGAAACCUGCAGUCCCUCCAGCUACGAGCCCAGUUCGAGUCAUGCAGGAUUUUAUGCAGUCACGCUGAGCAUCGGCAAGGAUGUAGGUCAUCUGGAACCCUCGACACUGAUGGAGUGUCCCUCGGUACAUCCAGUUUGGAAAACUGUAGCAGUGACUGAAGUGGAAUCUGUGAGUGCUCCAUUACUCAGCAAUUCCACUCCCAGGGGUGCGCCCGAGAGAGGUGAGUGUGUAUGUCCACCAAGACACACGAGGUAAGAGCAGCUUCGUUCACCGAAGCCCCAGACUGCAGACGACCCAGAUGUCCACCUACAAUGGGACGGACAAGUGAAUUGCGGUAUAUUCAUACCGUGAACACUGUUUGGUGAUGCAAAUGGAUGAAACUCUGCUACAGGCAACCACGUGAAUAAUUCUCACAGACAUAAUGAUGAGCAAAACAAGCCAGGCCCAGACAAAGAGAAGAUCCUCUACGAUUUAAUUACCUGAGGCUCAAGAACAGGCAAAAACCAACGGAGACGGACAGAAGUCAGAAUACCGGUCACCUCGGGGGCAUUAGGCUGCGUGCAGACUGGGAUAGGGCACAAGGAGCUCUCUGGGGAACCGGAAAUGAUUUACAUCCACAGUUCCGCAAGUGUACGCCUAGGUAAAAGCUCACUGGCCUUGUCAGUGAAGACGUGUGCACUUUCUUGUAUGUAAACAAUAACUCAAUAUGUAAAAAAAUAAAAAAUAC
rnacentral:lncRNA from 1 species